CCCUGGACAUACAGUAACCAGUGGUCUCCACUCAGCCCCUGGACAUACAGUAACCAGUGGUCUCCACUCAGCCCCUGGAUAUACAGUAACCAGGUCUCCACUCAGCCCCUGGACAUACAGUAAUCAGUGGUCUCCACUCAGCCCCUGGACAUACAGUAACCAGUGGUCUCCACUCAGCCCCUGGAUAUACAGUAACCAGGUCUCC